UACAGGGGGGGCAAGCGUUGUUCGGAAUUACUGGGCGUAAAGGGUUCGUAGGUGGCCACUUAAGUCAGACGUGAAAUCCCUCAGCUUAACUGGGGAACUGCGUCUGAUACUGAGUGGCUUGAGUGCAGGAGAGGAAUGCGGAAUUCCGCGUGUAGCAGUGAAAUGCGUAGAUAUGCGGAGGAACACCGAUGGCGAAGGCAAUCCCCUGGGCCUGCACUGACGCUCAUGCACGAAAGCGUGGGGAGCAAACAGG
rnacentral:rRNA from 1 species